AAUAAUUAGACCUUAUAGUAAAUAAUGAUUCUUAGCCUUUUUCAUGGCAGACUCCCUGACAUAUCUAUUGAGGUGAAUGCAAUAUACAUGCAAGUCAUAUGAUUUAGGUAGAUAUUAGUUUAUCUCUGUUGAUGAUUAUACGAGUUAAUCUUCUUGAUUUUCAUUUCUAUUCACUUUUUUCCUUUCUGCAUUUGUUAUUUGUCUGCUAGCCUUUAUCAGCCUUGUAGCAAUGUGUCGUAGAGCUUCCUUUCUUUAAAAUGUCAGAAAUUGUUUUCUGAAACAAUUGUAUGUAUCCAAUAUUUAGUUUUUGCAUACUUAGAUAUUAAAACCAUUGCUCAUUCACUAAUUUUCCAUCAUGUUUGAGCUUUUCUUUGGUGUGAACUUAUUUUUUUUCCUGCCUAUAAACAUGUAUGGAUAAGAGAUCUUCAAAGCACAUAGUUUUUUGCUUUCAGAAAUACUGUAGAUCAUAAUCAUGUGAGUCCUUAAGUUAAUAAACACAUUACUAGUUUUGUGUUGGUAUUCGAUGAUUCGAGCCGUUGGAUAUGAUCUACUACCUCUAAAUUGUUUAUAUACCAAAUUUUUUUUGAUUUGGAGACCCAUAGUCUAUGUAUCAAGUGGUCAAAAAAUUGGACAAUCUAAAUAACACGAAACAAUAUUUUUUUUGGCUACUUAAUGCAUAAGGUAGGGGUCUCCAAAUCAUAUGAUUUGUAGUGGCAGUAGAUCACAUUCAACAGCUUGGAUUAUCGAUAUGGAACUCCCAUCAUCCAAUAUAGACCUGACCAGAUCUGAGUGGAAAUCCACUUGAGUGUAGCCCCAAGUCCAGCUCUCUCUCUCUCUCUCUCUCUCUCUCUCUAUAUAUAUAU
rnacentral:lncRNA from 1 species